CAGACGAGGAGCUUGCUCCUCUGACGUUAGCGGCGGACGGGUGAGUAACACGUGGAUAACCUACCUAUAAGACUGGGAUAACUUCGGGAAACCGGAGCUAAUACCGGAUAAUAUAUUGAACCGCAUGGUUCAAUAGUGAAAGACGGUUUUGCUGUCACUUAUAGAUGGAUCCGCGCCGCAUUAGCUAGUUGGUAAGGUAACGGCUUACCAAGGCAACGAUGCGUAGCCGACCUGAGAGGGUGAUCGGCCACACUGGAACUGAGACACGGUCCAGACUCCUACGGGAGGGAGCAGUAGGGAAUCUUCCGCAAUGGGCGAAAGCCUGACGGAGCAACGCCGCGUGAGUGAUGAAGGUCUUCGGAUCGUAAAACUCUGUUAUUAGGGAA
rnacentral:rRNA from 1 species